ACUCCUACGGGAGGCAGCAGCAAGGAAUCUUCCGCAAUGGGCGAAAGCCUGACGGAGCAACGCCGCGUGGGGGAGGACGCUUUUCGGAUUGUAAACCCCUUUUCUCGGGGACGAAGCACUGACGGUUCCCGAGGGAGAAGGACCGGCUAACUACUUGCCAGCAGCCGCGGUAAU
rnacentral:rRNA from 1 species